GGGGCGCGUUACGUAAACAAACACUGGCAUGUUCGAGACGGGUCGUGCGUGCUAUUUUUUCACUGUAGCUCAGCUGAGCGUGACGCAGCGCGACGUACAGUUAUAGACGUCGGUGUCGGUUACACACUGAAGUCAUGAAGCCCCGUGUGUUAACGAUAAUUUCUUACUCACGCGCACAUUAAAAGAGCAUCAGUUCCUGCGAUCAGCGACAGCGUCUCGGGACACGCACUGUCGAACCAGUGGCUUAUAUUUCAGCUCUGUUUACAAAGACACGGGUGAAUACUUCUUCAACAGCUGAAGGGCGCAAUGGUGGAUUAUUACGAUGUCCUGGGAGUGUCACGAAAUGCUUCUCCAGAUGACAUCAAGAAAGCUUACAGAAGACUGGCUCUGCGUUGGCACCCUGACAAGAACCCAGACAACAAGGAAGAGUCAGAGAGAAAAUUCAAGGAGAUAGCAGAGGCCUAUGAAGUUCUUUCAGACAAGAGCAAACGGGAAGCUUUCGACAGAUACGGUAGUGCAGACAUACCAAGCUCAGGAUCUGGUAGCUCAUUUCCUGACGACUUCCCAGGAUUCACCUUUACAUUCCGCAACCCAGAUGAGGUUUUUCGAGAGUUUUUUGGAGGGCAGGACCCAUUCGCUGACUUCUUUGAUGAUUUUCCAUUUGGAGGGCUGCACAGUGGAUUUCACAGCUCCUCCUCCAGGCUAGGACCUAGUCGCUUCUUCUCCUUUCCCUCAACAAAUGUUGAUUUCACCUCCUUCUCUUCAAUGGGCGGGAUGGGCAGCAUUGGAGGAUCAAACUUUAAGUCUGUUUCUACUUCAACCCGCAUUGUCAAUGGAAAACGUAUCUCCACAAAAAAGGUCAACGAAAAUGGGCAGGAGAGAACAGAGAUUGAGGAAGAUGGGGUUCUGAAAACUAUCCUCAUCAACGGUGUGGAGGACGAGAUGGCUUUAGCUAUAGAACUGAGCCGUAGAGGAGAAACUAGACAAUCCCAACAGCCACGGCUUCGCGCCACUCACGACACCCAACCAAACCCUGCCCUGCGGUCAUUCAGCGCCGCCCCUUUCUAUCACUGCCCCGAUGGCAGCGACGAUGAGGAGGACGAAGAGCUGCAGAUGGCCCUGGCCUGCAGCUUGUCAGAGAUGGAGGCCAAGCAACGAGGAGAGGACAUGAUUUCAGGUGCUGGGAAAGGGAGGGUAAAGCAACCGGGGGGUGGGAAUAGGAGGGAUGCUACCCAAAAACCCAAAUAUGAAAGAGGAAAGACAGAUGGUUCAGCAGACAGCACCUCCUCGUCUUCAGAGAUUAGAGGGAUGGAUAAAGGUCUGGAUGGAGGUUCAGAAAGCAUGCAUCCAGAAAAUUCUGGUGUGAAGGAAAAGAAAAAUGGAAAAAUUGUGGCCAAUGGGCCUGAUGUGAUAAAAAAGCGUAGGAAGUGUCAGUGUGUAGUUUGUUAAUAAGUCUGCACUGCAGUAAUAAUGGUGUGUGUGUGUGUGAUGGUAGCAGUGUUGAUCUGUAGCGUGCUUGAUCGUAUACUGAACUGUGCCCUGGCUUAAAGCUCUCUGUCUGUUGGGUCAGGGCUUAUGACAUUGCACAGGGAUGACAGUACUGAAUUUAUAUUUUCUUCCGGAAGUACUAAUAACAGGUGCCAAUGUGUGUUUAUAUUCUACAUGGAGUGCUACUCAUACACCAGCUUAUAAUACAAUAAUACAUAUAUACAGAUUUGUGUGGUUCAAAACUAUGUUAGAAGUAAGCAAUAUGGUUGAAAAAGUGGAUUACAGUACCUUUAAACCAAACAUAAGAUCAAUAUAUUAACCUUAAGAUUUUCAUUUAGAUAAAUUAUAAGAUAUUGCUAUACACGUAUGAGCAUUGCUGCACUCUAUAUAUCCAAACUGAUGCAACCGGUGCUUAUUUGGCCACUCAUUCCCAAUUUGCUUUACAUUUAUUCAUUACAACAGAAGUUUUGUAUGGGGUCAGUGUUUCUGCAAGGCCUGAGAUGCAGUAUCUUCAACCACAGUUAGUCAUUUUGAUGAGAGUCAUUAUACAGAGAUGUACAUACAGGUUUAUAUAUAUACUUUUAAAAGUAGGAAAGAGGUUGUCUCUGUUAUGACUUGUUUGGAUGCUGUCUAAAACCAUAUUCAGAUGGUAAUUGUUUCUCGUGAGGACAUACAGUAAGGUAUUUUCAUCAUUUACAGGGGUAGUCAGUGAUUUUAUUGCCGUCUGAAUUCAGAAUGUAAGUGUUUUUCUCCAACCACCCGGGAAAAAAUUCCUGGCAGAAUUACCUACUUCUUUUGACAAACACCAAGGUCGUGUGGUAAUUUUAUUGCUGUCCGUAAGUUUAUAAAAGGGGAUCAAUGCAAAAGUCAUUUUGCACAUUUUUUUAGACCAUUGAAAACAUUGUAAGGUCAUGCGCGUCAUGUUUAUUCUGCAUCAGUGAAGCAUCUUUCUUUGAGGGGAAUUUAAACAUUGACAUCUUCAUAACUGAAAUGAUGAGAAGUGUAUAUGGGGACAAUCUUUCAUCGCUCUUCUACAGCGAGUGGGAGCUGAUGUAAAGAGAAAAAAUCAUGAAAAUAUUUGAAAUGUUUAUUAUCAGCUGCAACAAUUAAAAAAAUUUAUUCAAUUACACAACAGUAUUCCAUAUACAUAUAAUCAAGUAUCCGGGUCAUGUGAAUGAUCAUGUAAAUAACAACACGUGCAGUGCAUUUCCAGGUGUUUCAAUGAUAAACUCACACACACAUCCACUGGAAAUUUAUCACAGAGGAGGCAUGCAAAUGUAUUUUUCCUCAUGAGAAACAAUUACUGUCCGAAUAGGCCUUAAUUCUUUAAUGUUCCUGUUGAAUGUGAUGGAGGAAAUGGUUUUCGAAAUGGUGAUGUAAAAUUACAAAAGAUUUGUUUAAAAAUCCCCUUGUAAUAAGAAUCCAAUUAUGACUUUGUAAAGAGUUUAAAACUUUUGCACAGAUACUCUUAAAAAAGUCGCUGGGGUGGUACUGUAAAAGGUUCAUUUUCGUACCUUUAUGGGUAUAUAACAUAUUGAAAUGUUGUACCUUUUGGGGUACAAUAGAAUUCCCCUUUCAAAGCCUACAGCGAACGGCCGGUUUGGACUACAGCCCUCUACUUCCUGCUUUAAUGACGUCAGUAGAACAGUUUUUUCACUUAACUCCGCCCACAGGAAUACGUCAGUCGCCAGCUAAGCUAACGGCAAGCUAAGCUGCUAUCGAAUCACAACACACUUCAUAGAACACUUUUGUACCAGUUAAAUUUUAGGGGUACAAAACAGUUAACUGUAACUUUAAAUGUACACAAUAGUUCCUCAAGAUAUAGUUAUGUACCCAAAAAGGUACAACAUUUAGUAUACCUGUAAAGGUACAAAACAGAACCUUAGGGUAAUACCCCAGCGACAGAAAUGGUACAGUUGUAAACCUUUUUAUUCUGUAUUAAAGGAAAAUUGUCAUUAUUUACUCUGCAUGUUUUUUGAAUCCCCAGUCUCUUUGUUUUUCAGAACCCAAAUGCAGAUUUGAAAAAUGUCCUCUGAACACUUAAAAUAAAAGUCCAGUCGAGUUAUUUAUUUAACACAGUGUUUCUCAACCCUGGUCCUCAAGGACCCCCUUCCAGAAAGUUUUAGAUGUCUCCUAAUUUAAAACACCUGAACUAUCUCAUCAGACUCCUUCCAGAAUGUCUCCCUAACAAGCUAAUAAUUUAAAUCAGGUGUGUAAAUUAAGGAGACAUCUAAAACAUUCUGGAAGGGGGUCCUUGAGGACCAGGGUUGAGAAACACUGGUCAUUUUAAAGCUUGAAGGGUUUUCCACAAACAGCACUUGUGCAUUGGGUCCUCAAAAACACUGAAAGGUAUUUUGGAGUUCAAACAACAUAAGGAUGAGUAAAUAACAGUAAAGUUUUAAUUUUUAGGUGAACUAUCCUUUUAAGAUAAUCACAGUGUCUUUAUUGGCUGAUGUUUAUUAAUCUUCGUAUAUAUGCGGUCAUCAUUAAAUGCAGUGCAUUAUAUUGACAAUUGACUACAAAAACCUAGAAAAAUAUAUGAAAGUAACAGUAGAUCACCGAUUUUCUCUGUUUAUGAGAAUGUGCCAAAUAACUGAAUGACUGUGAAAUUUUGUAUGAAUCAAAGUGAAUAAGUAUUGACAUAAUUUGUGCCUUUUUUGUUAUGAUUAUAAUCCAUGGCUGUGGUAACCAACGCCAUAUUUUAUGUGCCGGCUUGUGCCGAAGAAGCACAUGGUACUCAUGUCCUGUUGAAUUUAUUUCAUAUUAGCCAGCAGCUGUGUGAUUUGAAAUAAAUAAAAACGUUAAUGACAUAACAAACACUACACAAAGCACAAAAAUUUGAAUGUCAUGCUAUGUGAAUGUUUAUGAACAAGUUGUUUUGUGAAUUUAUUAAAUGUGAAGAGCAAUCAAACUCAUUUAUUUACUAAAAAUUUUACUUUUUUAUGUUUGAAAAUGUAAUGCGGGGCAACAUUGCUGCCUCACGUUGUCAGAACAGAAAUAUCUUGAUUCAGAGAGAUGAGUUUGAUGCUCAGUGUAAUAUUUUUGAAUUCCAUGUGAACAGGAAGUCGCGAUUUCGUAUUGCGAUGUAUUUCCGAGUCAAACGAGGAGAAUAGUGGGUGGGGCUUGUCUUUUUUACUGUAAUUUGAUUGGCUAUAGAAAAGUGGACGCUUCAAUCAAAAAUAGAAUUUGCAGCAGACUGACAAUUGGAGGGGCGGAGUUAAAAAAUGCUCCCGCCCAAACCGUCUAGCUUACAUCAUCAAAGAAGGAUCGCCCCUGGAGGGAGAAAGUACUUUUUUGGAUAAAAUUUAUAAGGGCAAAUGAAUACAAAAAUAUAUAACGGCUAUAUUUCUUUAAAAAAUAAUAACUGUCAAUUUUGAUUUAUUUCAUGGGGACUUAAAGUUUUAAUGAAGAUAAUAAGUGCUGUUUAAGUCAGUGUUAAAGUUGUUGAUGCUUAUAUUAAAAACAAUAAACUUGAAUGAAUCAGUUUUGGUCAUAAGCAUUCAUUUAUAGAGAACACUAAAGUAUUUUUGUUGAUUUCCAGCUUUUUCUCCUGCAUGUUUUGCUUGUAUUAUUGAGUUGAAAGAAUAAAUCAAUGUAGUUUGGUUUUUAUUUGUAAUUUGUGAGCUGCAAAGGGUUUUUAGGGGUUACUUCUGCAAUCCUCUUCUCUUCUGUUUCUGUUUGCUCUAACUAACUCUGUCAUUAACAACACAUUCACACCCAUGGGUUUUAUUUAUAAACCUCAUGUUCAUUUGCAUGUGGUAUGUUUAUGAUUUUUACCUGAUUCGUUUUCCCUACUGUUGCAGAGUCCGACUUCCAGGCCUUCACAGGCUGACCCAUGGCUGCGAUCCCCCUCUUACGCCCCCCAGAGGUGAAGUGUUCCCUGGUGUGCUGCUCUCUCUUUUUGCUUCACUUGUCUCUCUCUCUGCCUGGCACACCUGCUGCUCAGACCCUUUUCAAAGUUUUAUUUGGAAAAAAACCCAGGCAACGCUACAUAAAGGUCAAUAAUGUACGUGCUAUGUAUGUGUGUACUGUAUACGUAUGAAUGUUGGCUCAAAGAGAGAAGACUGAACUUUUUUACAUAUAAGUUACAUUUAUGGCCUGCACUGAUUGAAACUAUGGACUAGUAAAAAAUAUACACUUUACAAUAAGGUUGCAUUAACUAACAUGAACAAUAUAGUUUUUAAACAUGUAUUCAUUUCUUGUUAAUGUCAAUACAGUUUGUUCUGAGCAUUAAUUAAUGUUAACAGCUACAACGCUUGCUUUUAUAAAUAAAUGUAUUAGUAAAUGUCAAAAAAUAACAUGAACUAAGAUUAAUAAAUGCUGUAGAAGUUUAGUUCAUGUUAGCUAAUGCAUAAAUUAAUUGUUAACAAAUAUAACCUUAUUGUAAAGUGUUACCAAAAAUAAUGUGUCAUAUGGAUAAAACUCAAACAUGAGAUUUAUGUAUAAUGGGACUGAAAAUGCUGUGAGAAUUUAAAAUCUUUAUAAAUGAUCACUAUAAAGGUGUUAUUAUUUAUUCA